UACAGAGGUCCCAAGCGUUGUUCGGAUUCACUGGGCGUAAAGGGUGCGUAGGUGGUGGGGUAAGUCUGAUGUGAAAUCUCCGAGCUUAACUCGGAAAUGGCAUUGGAAACUACUCGGCUAGAGGGUUGGAGGGGGGACUGGAAUGCUUGGUGUAGCAGUGAAAUGCGUAGAUAUCAAGCGGAACACCAGUGGCGAAGGCGGGUCCCUGGACAACACCUGACACUGAGGCACGAAAGCUAGGGGAGCAAACAGG
rnacentral:rRNA from 1 species